rnacentral:pre_miRNA from 1 species
UUUGUACUCCCUCCGUCCUAAAAUUCUUGUCUUAGAUUUUUCUAGAUAUUGAUGUAUCUAAUACUAAAGCGUGACUUGAUACAUCCGUAUUUAGAUAAAUCUAAGACAAGAAUUUUGGGACGGAGGGAGUACUAG